rnacentral:rRNA from 1 species
CAGUAGCCGCGGUAAUACGGAGGGAGCUAGCGUUGUUCGGAAUUACUGGGCGUAAAGCGCACGUAGGCGGCUUUGUAAGUUAGAGGUGAAAGCCUGGGGCUCAACUCCAGAAUUGCCUUUGAGACUGCAUCGCUUGAACACGGGAGAGGUGAGUGGAAUCCCGAGUGUAGAGGUGAAAUUCGUAGAUAUUCGGAAGAACACCAGUGGCGAAGGCGGCUCACUGGACCGUUGUUGACGCUGAGGUGCGAAAGCUAGGGGAGCAAACAGGAUUAGAUACCCCUGUAGUCCCUGUCUCUUAUAA